GCCCUCUGAGAGUUACUAACAUGGCUGACAUGAAGUAGUCAGUUGUCAAUGCUACAAUGUUAGUGUUGGGUUAUGGUGUGUGUGUGUGUGUGUGUGUGAGUCUAUCAUAGAGGCAAGGGGGGGUGAGAUAGAAUGAUUUAAAGUCUUUAGAGUAAAGAAAAAAGGAAAUAAUUCUGCAACAGAGAUCAACAAAGGCGUAACACAUUAAAUAGGAAAUGGCGUAUAUCCGCCAUUGCUCUUAUUGCUUCUUCUUCCACCGCCGCACACACACACACACACAGACACAAGCAACCAAUGACGUAGGGCUCAUGCUGCGAAAACACCGACAGGUUCGAACGGACGUGUCGUAAAGCAGCACAUGAGUCCACCGUCGUGGAAGGUGUAUUAACCGUGUUUUCGACGGACAAUGUCCUUCAACGCACUAGUUUGGGAUUUGACAAGCAACACAUAUUCCUCCGCUUCUCCAUGAGUGUCAAGAGCACGGCAGUACCCGGAUGGAGUGUCAUGGCCGCCGUCGCUGUGGUUCCACAGAGAGGGGAGAAGGAAGGCGAACAUGUUUCUGCCGCGUGUUUUUUCCCCCCGAGCCCAGCCUUGUUUCCGUGAUGUCGGACGUUGACGGGACGCCGCCUCAACUUCCAUCGAGUUCAUAGACUGACAGCUGACUGAGACCUAUGGAGUUGCAGGCUGGUGCAGGUCCCCUGCUGACUUUACAUUAAUCCUAAUCCACAAAAGUAUUACGUGGAAUAGAGGAGGUGAUACUGGGCAGUCGACACUGGCUGUUCAAAGAGAAGACCCUGUUGCAUUUUGCUUAUGUAAUCAGGCCUGUUUGCAUGAAAAUGUGGCUCACAGGAAAUGCCAUCCUUCACACACGUUCAACUGUGCGAUAGUCAGUUAGCUCCAUGCCCCCCCUGCAUCACUGUCACUGUUGGUUGAAUGGAAUUUAUGCUCAAUCAUUGAGAAAUGAUUGUUGUACUGCAUGAUGAGAAGUAAAUAAACAGAUCCACAGGGAGCAGUGUGAUAUUGGUAAAAAGUAAACAAUUUGAUUUUUUUUUUUUAAUUAAAUCUGAAAAUGCAUUGUGAAAAAAGGACAUUUCUGGACACCUGUGUACAGAUACACAUCAGAAAACUGUGUAAAACUCAACUCUCAAAGUUCCCACACUGUUUGUGAUGCCAAUGUUUCAAGUCUGAUUCUGAGAAUUUGUCUGUACUUGAGUUCAUAUUAUUAGAUGAGCUUUGCAUUUUGCAUCAAAUGGGAACUGUUAAAAUCAAGUUCUGAACGAGAGCUGUUUGGUAGCCGAUAGCCUACCCACUUAGCACAGUUGUCACCUAAAUUGUAGAGUCAAAGGAGUUACAAUUUCCACAUAUUAUCUGCUGCUGUAUAAAGUUGGAAUAUCAACAACAAUCUGCAGUAUUUCAAAUCCACAUGGUGUUAUGUGGAGGAGCAGCAGUAGAAAAUGUUGGGUUUGUAUUUGCUUU
rnacentral:lncRNA from 1 species